rnacentral:rRNA from 1 species
AGAGUUUGAUCCUGGCUCAGGAUGAAUGCUGGCGGCGUGCCUAACACAUGCAAGUCGAGCGGCAGCGCGGGUAGUUUACUACCUGGCGGCGAGCGGCGGACGGCUGAGUAACGCGUGGGAACGUGCCCCAAAGUGAGGAAUAACUGCCCGAAAGGGUGGCUAAUGCCGCAUAUGAUCUUCGGAUUAAAGUCUUCGGACGCUUUGGGAGCGGCCUGCGUCGGAUUAGGUUGUUGGUGAGGUAAUGGCUCACCAAGCCGACGAUCCGUAGCUGGUCUGAGAGGAUGAUCAGCCAGACUGGAACUGAGACACGGUCCAGACUCCUACGGGAGGCAGCAGUGAGGAAUCUUCCACAAUGGGCGAAAGCCUGAUGGAGCAACGCCGCGUGCAGGAUGAAGGCCUUCGGGUUGUAAACUGCUUUUAUAAGUGAAGAAUAUGACGGUAACUUAUGAAUAAGCACCGGCUAACUACGUGCCAGCAGCCGCGGUCAUACGUAGGGUGCAAGCAUUAUCCGGAGUGACUGGGCGUAAAGAGUUGCGUAGGUGGUUUGUUAAGCGAGUAGUGAAAUCAGACGGCUCAACCGUACUGGCUAUUACUCGAACUGGCAAACUCGAGAAUGGUAGAGGUAACUGGAAUUUCUUGUGUAGGAGUGAAAUCCGUAGAUAUAAGAAGGAACACCAAUGGCGUAGGCAGGUUACUGGACCAUUUCUGACACUGAGGCACGAAAGCGUGGGGAGCGAACGGGAUUAGAUACCCCGGUAGUCCACGCC